UAAAUUACAAAAUGACAACGUGAUGAAAAAACUUUUAUUAGUCUAUUGGACAUUCAGUCCUUUCCAGCAGACAUUAUAGUAAAAAAGCACAAUAACUGGGGUAAUGAACAUAGAGGGCAGGGAGUGUUCCACAGAAAGUUGAUACUAGUAUAAUAUUCAGUAAAAAUCUUUUUGGGAGGUAAUUCAAGAUCUUUAUUGAUUUCCUUUGUACAAUACAAGAAUACAAUUACUAAAAAAAAAAAAACAAAUAAACGGAGAAAACACACAUCAUUCAACCAACAUGAUUUCCAACCACAAAUGUUCACCUGUGGCCUAAUGGUGGAAUCUAUAUUUCAUUUGAUUUCAAAAGAUAAGUCAGUGCCGAUUGUUGACUAAUCAAGGGAAAUGUAAAAUAUCUAAUAACUGUACAAAUAGGCUACUCGCUGCAUGCUGUGAGUAUUAGCCGUUCUAAAUGCACACAAAAAGGCGCUGUUUGAAAUGAAAGGGAAUCAGUUCGCUUCGAGGAUACUGAAUUCGCUACAACACCGGCACUGUUUGAACGCGUCAUCAAUAGCCGCAGGAGAGCAACGAAACAGUGUCACAUUUAUUUCUAUACUUUUGUUACAAU